GACGAACGCUGGCGGCGUGCUUAACACAUGCAAGUCGAACGGAAAGGCUCCAGCUUGCUGGCGUACUCGAGUGGCGAACGGGUGAGUAACACGUGGGAAUCUGCCCUGCACUCUGGGAUAAGCCUGGGAAACUGGGUCUAAUACUGGAUAUGACCUUUCUCCUUAUGGGGUUUGGUGGAAAGUUUUUCGGUGUAGGAUGAGCCCGCGGCCUAUCAGCUUGUUGGUGGGGUGAUGGCUUACCAAGGCGACGACGGGUAGCCGGCCUGAGAGGGUGAUCGGCCACAUUGGGACUGAGCUACGGCCCAGACUCCUACGGGAGGCAGCAGUGGGGAAUAUUGCACAAUGGGCGGAAGCCUGAUGCAGCGACGCCGCGUGAGGGAUGACGGCCUUCGGGUUGUAAACCUCUUUCAGCAGGGACGAAGCGUAAGUGACGGUACCUGCAGAAGAAGCACCGGCUAACUAUGUG
rnacentral:rRNA from 1 species